GCAGCGGUGGUUCAGUGGUAGAAUUCUCAUCUUCCAUGCACAGGACCCGGGUUCAAUUCCCAGCCCAUGCA
rnacentral:tRNA from 1 species